AUACGGAGGGUGCAAACGUUAUUCGGAAUCACUGGGCGUAAAGGGUGCGUAGGCGGUUUGAUAAGUCUGAUGUGAAAUCCUAUGGCUCAACCAUAGAACUGCAUUGGAAACUGUCAGACUAGAAUACUGAAGGGGCAGAUGGAAUUAGUGGUGUAGGGGUAAAAUCCGUAGAUAUCACUAGGAAUACCGAAAGCGAAAGCGAUCUGCUGGGAAGUUAUUGACGCUGAGGCACGAAAGCUGGGGGAGCGAUCCGGAUUAGAUACCCGGGUAGUCC
rnacentral:rRNA from 1 species